rnacentral:rRNA from 1 species
UACGCAGGGGGCUAGCGUUGUUCGGAAUCACUGGGCGUAAAGCGCACGUAGGCGGAUUGUUAAGUCGGGGGUGAAAUCCUGAGGCUCAACCUCAGAACUGCCUUCGAUACUGGCAAUCUCGAGUCCGGAAGAGGUUGGUGGAACAGCUAGUGUAGAGGUGAAAUUCGUAGAUAUUAGCUAGAACACCAGUGGCGAAGGCGGCCAACUGGUCCGGUACUGACGCUGAGGUGCGAAAGCGUGGGGAGCAAACAGG